rnacentral:rRNA from 1 species
UGGCGGACGGGUGAGUAACGCGUGGGCAACCUGCCCUGUACAGGGGGACAACACUUAGAAAUAGGUGCUAAUACCGCAUAACGGGGGGAGCCGCAUGGCACCCCCCUGAAAACUCCGGUGGUACAGGAUGGGCCCGCGUCUGAUUAGCUGGUUGGCAGGGUAACGGCCUACCAAGGCGACGAUCAGUAGCCGGCCUGAGAGGGCGGACGGCCACACUGGGACUGAGACACGGCCCAGACUCCUACGGAAGGCAGCAG